AUAAAUGUUAGCUAGUAGUAGUAGUAAUCCAGCUAUUAUUAAUCUAGUCCAAGAAACAGUUUUCAUAGGUUGUAUUUGUUGCCCAGUUGUAUCCAACUCGUUGUGGCCCCAUAUAGAGUUCCCUUGGCAAAGAUAAUUUUCUUCUCCAAUAGAUGAAGGCACAUAAAAUUUAAGUGACUUACCCAGAGUCGCUUAGCUAGUAAGUGUCUGAGGUCAAAUUUGAACUCAGGUCUUCCUGAUUCCAGGUCUAUCACUCUAUCCAUUGAAGCACUUUCCUGCCUCAAAGGUAUUCAAACCUAAAACUAAACCACCAAGGAAAUGAACUAAGAAGCAUAUGUUGACUCUUCAUUUUUCUUUUCACAGAUGAGACUUUAAAAUUUAUUACCACACCCCCCAUCAAAGACCAGGGAAGCACCAGAGACUCUGGCACCACAAGCUCCCUUCUUAUCAACUCCUCUUAUUCAAGUGUGAUUUUGCCUGUCGUUAUUGCUCUGAUAGCAAUAACACUCUCAAUAUUCAUUCUGGUAGGACUGUACCGAAUGUGUUGGAAAACAGACCCAGGUACACCAGAUAAUGGAACUGACCAGCCCCAAUCAGAUAAAGAAAGUGUUAAACUUCUCACUGUCAAGACAAUUUCUCCUGAGACCAGUGAGCAGUCUGCUCAAGGAAAAAAUAAAAACUGACAACCUGAGGAGCUCUCUCCAUACUUCAGCCAAUAAAUAUGUGUGAAAAUGCAGAUUGCUACAUGUGACAAGAGAUUCCCUUGAAGAUCAAGUUUCAGCUAUGGACUGUUUAUUCUAAGGACUAUCAUAUCACAGGCUGAUGAACCAACUGGCAACAUUCCCUCUUUCUCUUAAGUUUAAGAUAUUUACAAUUAUUCAGCCUUGGAGACUUUUGUUUUCUCAGUGGCUUUUUAUUACCUUGUGAUCAUAUUUAUUUUUUUAUGUUAAAGAAGGAACUUUUCCAAAUCUCUUUUUUAUUGUCAUUGCCACUGUGUACAUAACAAGUGUUUUAUUCAGUUUUUUCAUAUACCAGAAACAUAUUUUUCACAUAUCAGAAGUAUGUAUAUGUCCUUUUUAUUGUGCUUUUAAUAAAUAAUGACUUUCUCAAAAUGCUUAAA